rnacentral:rRNA from 1 species
UACGUAGGGUCCGAGCGUUGUCCGGAAUUAUUGGGCGUAAAGGGCUCGUAGGCGGUCUGUUGCGUCGGGAGUGAAAACUUACAGCUUAACUGUGAGCGUGCUUUCGAUACGGGCAGACUUGAGGCAUUCAGGGGAGAACGGAAUUCCUGGUGUAGCGGUGAAAUGCGCAGAUAUCAGGAGGAACACCGGUGGCGAAGGCGGUUCUCUGGGCCUUACCUGACGCUGAGGAGCGAAAGCGUGGGGAGCGAACAGG